GACGAACGCUGGCGGCGUGCCUAACACAUGCAAGUCGAGCGGAGUCGAUCGACGGAAGCCUUCGGGCGGAAGAUGGUUGACUUAGCGGCGGAUGGGUGAGUAACGCGUGGGCAACCUGCCUCGAAGACCGGGAUAACAGCCCGAAAGGGCUGCUAAUACCGGAUGUGGUCAAGGAUCCGCAUGGAUUUUUGAUUAAAGGGGAAACCCGUUUCGAGAUGGGCCCGCGUCCUAUCAGCUAGUUGGUGAGGUAAAAGCUCACCAAGGCGACGACGGGUAGCCGGCCUGAGAGGGUGACCGGCCAACGACUGGAACUGAGACACGGUCCAGACUCCUACGGGGGGCAGCAGUGGGGAAUCUUCCACAAUGGGCGAAAGCCUGAUGGAGCGACGCCGCGUGAGCGAAGAAGGCCUUCGGUUGUAAAGACUCUGUCUGGAGGGACGAAGGAAGUGACGGUACCUCCGGAGGAAGCCACGGCUAACUACGUG
rnacentral:rRNA from 1 species